rnacentral:lncRNA from 1 species
GCUGGCUCCAGGGGCUGUUUCCUUACCCCUCCGGCCCUCGAUACCCCCUUGCAGUCUCCAAGAGUUUGUUUUAGGGCUCAAGUCUUCCUCUACCCCAAAAUGGGCAGACAGACCUGGGCAGGGGCGGAGGCGGAGAGAAGUUUUCUUCGUCGAGAGCCUUACCCUGCUGCUGGGAACAGUCGCUGUCCAGGAUCGUGGCGAGGGAAGCAUUCAGCCCGGGCUCUGGUCCCUCCAGGGAGGACGGCGGCCCGGGCACAGCAUCGAGCACAGGUUCCAGUUGAAAAUGGUCCAGAAAUAUCAGUCUCCAGUUCGAGUCUACAAGUAUCCAUUUGAGCUGGUCAUGGCGGCCCUUGAGGUCUGGUCUUCCUGCUCUUCCACUGCCAGCAACUAACACUGAAAAAGUUGCUCCCUCCCAUAGUCUUGGAAUGAUGGAGCUCUGACAUCCCUAUUCUUUAGUGACAAUCCUCUACCUUACCAGUGAAGAAUAGGCACUUCACACAUCAUCAGCUUCAAAGUGCUACCCAACAAUAUGUCAUAGAAUGGAAUUAACUAUGAUGGACAUAAAUAUGAGCCUGAGAAAUGAGUGGACCUAGUAAUAGUUUGUGGUCAAUGGGGGAAAACCUUUUAAUAUGAAAAUGAAUGACAUUUCCUGGUAUUUGUAAAGUGCUGUGUACUUGUAUGUGCAUUAUUCCAUUUGAUUUUUUAAGGCUGUACUAUGAGACAAGUAGGCUGGAUAUUAUUGUCCUUAUUUUACAUACGGAGAAACAGAGGCAUGAAGACAUCUAGUGACUAAUCCAAGACCUUUGAACAAAUCAAUGGUAGAGCUAGCACUAGAAUAUGUGGCUCCUGACUCCAAGUACAGUGUUUUUUCUACUAUAUCACACUGCUUUUGUACAUCAUCAUAUUAAAAAAUGUUCAAGGAUAUUAGAUUUUAGUUGUGUUUCUAGGAAUAAUUAUGGGGUGAAUGUCCUGCUGAUAGUAACCUGCUAGUAACCAUUUUUCAUAUGAUAACGUGUAGAAAGUAC